rnacentral:tRNA from 1 species
GCCGGCAUGUCGGAAUUGGCAGACGAGACAGACUCAAAAUCUGUUGGCUGUAUGGUCGUGUGGGUUCAAGUCCCACUGCCGGCA